CACGUAGGGUGCGAGCGUUGUCCGGAAUUAUUGGGCGUAAAGAGCUCGUAGGCGGUGUGUCGCGUCGGCCGUGAAAACCUGCAGCUUAACUGUGGGCUUGCGGUCGAUACGGGCAUCACUGGAGUUCGGCAGGGGAGACUGGAAUUCCUGGUGUAGCGGUGAAAUGCGCAGAUAUCAGGAGGAACACCGGUGGCGAAGGCGGGGUCUCUGGGCCGAUACUGACGCUGGAGGAGCG
rnacentral:rRNA from 1 species